GAUGAACGCUGGCGGCGUGCCUAAUACAUGCCAGUCGAGCGAACGGACGAGAAGCUUGCUUUUCUGAUGUUAGCGGCGGACGGGUGAGUAACACGUGGAUAACCUACCUAUAAGACUGGGAUAACUUCGGGAAACUGGAGCUAAUACCGGAUAAUAUUUUGAACCGCAUGGUUCAAAAGUGAAAGACGGUCUUGCUGUCACUUAUAGAUGGAUCCGCGCUGCAUUAGCUAGUUGGUAAGGUAACGGCUUACCAAGGCAACGAUGCAUAGCCGACCUGAGAGGGUGAUCGGCCACACUGGAACUGAGACACGGUCCAGACUCCUACGGGAGGCAGCAGUAGGGAAUCUUCCGCAAUGGGCGAAAGCCUGACGGAGCAACGCCGCGUGAGUGAUGAAGGUCUUCGGAUCGUAAAACUCUGUUAUUAGGGAAGAACAUAUGUGUAAGUAACUGUGCACAUCUUGACGGUACCUAAUCAGAAAGCAACGGCUAACUACGUG
rnacentral:rRNA from 1 species